UAAAGUGCGAUAUGUAGUGCGAUUUGCAUGAAUCUGUGAGUCAUCUAAUCUUUGAACGCAACUUGCGCCGUUAGGCAUGUCUGUUCGAGGACCGUGCGUAAAUGUGUGUGCCGAGAGGUAUAUGCGAAUUGGUGGAUGCUGGUUGGGGUGGGGUGUCUGGUUGUAAAACAGGACAUUCACCGCUGCCGGCUCUGCUUAAAGAGAGCAAGCAUGACUCGAAGGAUCGAGCCAGUGUGCCAGAGGCACGAUUGGAGGUGUGUUUGGCGUGUCGUAUGGCAUGUCAUACCGUCUCUGUCUCAGUCUUGUCACUGGCAAAGAUCCCGCAGUCGUCGGGUGUCGGGUUGUCGGGUUUGGUCCAACCAACUCCAAUACCCACCCCAUAAUCAAUCAACCGGUCUCG
rnacentral:misc_RNA from 1 species